rnacentral:rRNA from 1 species
UACGUAGGGGGCGAGCGUUGUCCGGAAUUAUUGGGCGUAAAGAGCGUGUAGGCGGUUCGGUAAGUCUGCCGUGAAAACCUGAGGCUCAACCUCGGGCGUGCGGUGGAUACUGCCGGGCUAGAGGACGGUAGAGGCGAGUGGAAUUCCCGGUGUAGCGGUGAAAUGCGCAGAUAUCGGGAGGAACACCAAUGGCGAAGGCAGCUCGCUGGGACGGUACUGACGCUGAGACGCGAAAGCGUGGGGAGCAAACAGG